rnacentral:rRNA from 1 species
UACGGAGGGUGCAAGCGUUAUCCGGAUUCACUGGGUUUAAAGGGUGCGUAGAUGGGAAUGUAAGUCAGUGGUGAAAUCUCCGUGCUUAACAUGGAAACUGCCAUUGAUACUAUGUUUCUUGAAUCUUCCGGAGGUCAGCGGAAUAUGUCAUGUAGCGGUGAAAUGCUUAGAUAUGACAUAGAACACCAAUUGCGAAGGCAGCUGACUACAGGGGCAUUGACACUGAGGCACGAAAGCGUGGGGAUCAAACAGG